GACCUCGUGGCGCAACGGUAGCGCGUCUGACUCCAGAUCAGAAGGCUGUGUGUUCAAAUCACGUCGGGGUCA
rnacentral:tRNA from 1 species